rnacentral:rRNA from 1 species
AGCAGUCGCCGCGGUAAUACGUAGGUGGCAAGCGUUGUCCGGAAUUAUUGGGCGUAAAGCGCGCGCAGGCGGAUAGGUCAGUCUGUCUUAAAAGUUCGGGGCUUAACCCCGUGAUGAGAUGGAAACUGCCAAUCUAGAGUAUCGGAGAGGAAAGUGGAAUUCCUAGUGUAGCGGUGAAAUGCGUAGGUAUUAGGAAGAACACCAGUGGCGAAGGCGACUUUCUGGACGAAAACUGACGCUGAGGCGCGAAAGCCAGGGGAGCGAACGGGAUUAGAUACCCGCGUAGUCCCUGUCUCUUAUACA